rnacentral:rRNA from 1 species
GCGGCGGCCCUCCGCCGUCGCGACCUCCUCCUGCCGCUGCCGGCGGUCGCCGCCCUGCUGCUGCUGCUGCUUCCCCUCGCCGGACGCGCGGCGGCCGACUCCCCCGGCUGCUCCAACAAGCUCCAGCCGGUUAAGCUGAAGAAGAACUGGGUGAGUGGAACCCAGGGCACGACCGUUGCUGUAAUGAGCGCGACAUUCGGAGCCACCUUGCCCACAACUGUCAACGAGGCUCAGAGAACAUGCGCUGCCCUCACCGACCCUCUUGACCGCUGCUCCAAUACAGCCUCAGAGUUAACGGUUCCUGUCGCCUUAGCGACACGUGGACAGUGUGCUCUCACCGCUCAAGCAGAAACUGCACAGCCUGCUGCUGAUGACGGAGAGCUUCAUAAGAUGGUUUGCAGUGCCAGUGAUCCUUCAAUUAAUGAGCCAAGUCGUCCGGUUGUGGACCCUUCACUAUGCUUCUUGUUCAUAAUGGCUGUAGGAACUAUAGUCUGCUCCUCACUCUGGGGUGAAUUCGUUGCAUGCCAACCGAUUGAUGAGCGUUAUAAUCAGCUGACAUGGCAGCAGGGACCGAAUUCUGGGACAAACGACAGACAAGAUAAACAAAUCAUUGAAAUCACCGCAAAGAGAGCUAGUUUUCAAAUUGUAGGAUGUUCAGUUCUCCUUCUCCUGUUCUACUUCAUGUCGUCUUGGGUCGCCUGGCUACUCAUUGUAUUGUUCUGCAUUGGUGGUAUUCAAGGUAUGCAUGUUUGCUUGGUGACAAUUAUCUCUAGGAUUUAUAAGGAUUGGAGAAAUAAAACUGUACAAUUGCCGUUGUACGGGGAGGUCUUAACCUUGUCUCUUGGAGUGGCACCAUUCUGUACGGUAUUUGUCAUUCUAUGGGCUGCUUAUCGGCAUUCUUCGUUUGCUUGGAUAGGUCAAGACAUCCUUGGUAUCUGCUGGAUGAUAAACAUAAUUCAGAAGGAGCAUUUACCUAAUAUCAGGGUUGCAUCGGUUCUCCUUGGUGCUUCAUUUGUGUAUGACAUCUUCUGGGUCUUCAUUUCACCUCUUAUAUUCCAUGAGAGUGUUAUGUUUGCAGUAACUGCAUUCUUGACCUUUACAUUUACAUCAAUACUUACUAUCAGCCAUGCUUUAGUUCUACAUAUUAAUUUGCACGGUAGAUUUUCUAGUUAAAUCAAUCAGUGGAAUGGUUUUGCUUCUUCGCAAAAAAGAAAAGGAAUAGUCUUGCAACUGCAUGAUGAAACCAUUUUUAGAAAAUAGGAUAUGACAUUUCCCCCAAAAACGAAUACUCUUGCUUCUUCACAAAAAAAAGGCAUCUGGAGGUUGUAAAAUAAAGAGAAGGACAGGACAGAAUCCACAAGGGUUGACUUCUUAAAUACCUUCAGAAUGUGGGAGAAUUGGUAGCAGCCUGUCUUGAAACUGAGUGAAUUGUUAAAAUAUUCAGUGUUAUGAUCUAAUUUGGUUCUCUUAUGACCUGUAUAAAAUUGAUAUAUUUUGGAGGCAAAUGUUCAGACUUGAAACUGUAGUAAAAUGUUAUUUUUGUGGUUAUAAUUUGAAACUAAAUAAAUGCAUUGUCCAGCAAAUGCUUAUGUUUAGUAACCUAUCUUAUUCUCUUAUGUGCUGUGACUUGUGAUUGUUUUUUUUUUUACUUACCAUCUUAUGAAAGCUCCCAGGUUGCAAGUGGUGGCAGCUCAGGGGAAGUGAUUCCGAUGCUCCUAAGAAUACCUCGUUUCUUUGAUCCAUUGGGUGGAUACGCCAUGUUAGGCUUUGGUGAUAUUAUUUCCCCUGGACAGCUCAUCGCAUUCAGCUACAGAUUUGACAGGGCAGCCAAAAAAGGUAUCAUGAAUGGAUAUUUUUUAUGGCUGACCGUGGGAUAUGUUGUCGGCCUUUUCCUUGCCUGUCUUGGGAUCUUCCUAAUGGAUGGCCAUGGUCAACCAGCGAUGAUGUACCUAGUACCAUGCACCCUAGAGGCUGGUACUUCAGCAUAUCGUCCAAAGACCUUCUAUCAACCAUGAAUGAAUGGUUAAGUUAGAAUUAUGAGGUUUGGCUACAUACUGGGGGUGGGGGGUGGGGGGCUUGCCCCCAUAUUUAGGGGGAUCCUUGCCCUCCUUCCCCGGCAUGACACCACAAUAUAUUCAUUCAAUGGUUGCUUAUGGUUCAGUAUAUAAGCAAGAGGCAUAUGACAGAAGGCAAGAGUCAAUUGACGAGGAAAGUGAUGAAGCGGUUGAGAAGAUGGUGAAACCAAAGAGUAUUAAAGUCAAGGAUGUCGAUGUUGAUAGGACAACUGAUCUCUCCAUGCCUGUUUUGGCUCCAUAUACAUGGCCUUGCCCCCAUAUUGGGGGGGGGGGGGGGAUCCUUGCCCCCAUAUUGAAUUCUUGUUUUUCUAAUGCUAUAAUAAUAAUAAUAAUAGAAAUUUGUUGUUGUUAUGUAGGAAAUGAUCGGAAGCUUCUUGAAAAAUGGCCCCUUGUGUUUCAUGGCUUAUUGCAACGUAUUCCCCAUAUGGGCCUUUGGAGAGUAUCACAGAUUAGUAUAUUGCUCUGUCUAAAUUGGUACCUUGUGGUAUGAAGCGACUGAAUGUUGCCCCUCCUCUGCUUUCAUGUGUGAUAAAAGGGAAGAAAACAGGAGCAAUCAAUCCAGAAGGAAUAAGCAGAAUGUGCAGCCAGCAUGUACAGUAGACAGUAUAUGUUGCCAUCAUCAUGUCAUGUGUAUGCCACAAGCAAAAGGCAUGUCCUAAACUAGUACACUGGACUAGAUUUGUGUUUUUGUGUGUGACACAGCUAGACGAGCAAAGGAAGGGGGUAGUGCUUAAUUACCAGUGAAGGGAUAAAAAGGAGGGCAUAUGGACACUGGUGAUGCAGCAUCACCCGGAUUUAUUCAUGAUGUGGAUUGUGACACUGUGAGAGCUUUUCAAAGGAAAAAGAGGAGAAAAUGAUGGGAAGAGGUCAAGAGGGGUGGUGUGGACAUGCAACUAACUGUAUCAUGUAUCAGGCAGGACAGACAGCAGCAAAAGCAAUUCAGCCUUGAGCAAAAGCAAGAAGCUGUAUGUGAAUAUUUUAGCAGCAUGUAGAGGUAGGGACUGCACACCCUAUAUACUACAGAACUGUUACAGGUAAAUAAAUUGUUACAGGCAUGAUUUAUUUUUAUGAUUUGUUGGACAAGAUCAACUUUUUUUAGGGAGGGAUGGGCCCUGCAUUCCAUGUGUUGAUUGUUGGGGUGAUGUUAUCUGAUUGCUGAUUGCAAACACUAUGCUACUAUAUUUAUAUGUAUGAUGACGAUGAUGAUGAUUAGAUUACGAAUGGUUCUGC